GCCCGGAUAACUCAGUCGGUAAAGCAUCAGACUUUUAAUCAGAGGGUCCAGGGUUCAAGUCCCUGAUUGGGCG
rfam:Danio rerio chromosome 4, GRCz11 reference primary assembly.